ACACAGCCAGAUCUUAUCUCAAAAAGGUGCCAGGGGCGAUGGUACGCUUGCAGGGAGAAGGGAAGCCAAGAUGGUCAGCCACGGGGAAGCUCAUCCACGGAGGGAAAGCUCAAUUCGAUCUCCAGCUGACCGCUUCGGCAGUUUCCACAGACUGUUUGAAAGCUCCCACUCGCUGCUGCCCUCCACCAUGCUUCGCCCGCCGUCUCUGUCAUGUUUUGAAUCCCGGAUUUGAUAGAUGUCUAUCUGCUGUUUUUGUCUGUCAUUUGCUGCUUACUCUUUUGCUUGCUACAUAAUGAAUAAACUCACAUAUUGGAAACUAAA
rnacentral:lncRNA from 1 species